rnacentral:rRNA from 1 species
GAUGAACGCUGGCGGCGUGCCUAAUACAUGCAAGUCGAGCGAACAGACGAGGAGCUUGCUCCUCUGACGUUAGCGGCGGACGGGUGAGUAACACGUGGAUAACCUACCUAUAAGACUGGGAUAACUUCGGGAAACCGGAGCUAAUACCGGAUAAUAUAUUGAACCGCAUGGUUCAAUAGUAAAAGACGGUUUUGCUGUCACUUAUAGAUGGAUCCGCGCCGCAUUAGCUAGUUGGUAAGGUAACGGCUUACCAAGGCGACGAUGCGUAGCCGACCUGAGAGAGUGAUAGGCCACACUGGAACUGAGACACGGUCCAGACUCCUAAGGGAGGCAGCAGUAGGGAAUCUGACGCAAUGGGCGAAAGCCUGACGGAGCAACGCCGCGUGAGUGAUGAAGGUCUUCGGAUCGUAAAACUCUGUUAUUAGGGAAGAACAAAUGUGUAAGUAACUAUGCACGUCUUGACGGUACCUAAUAAGAAAGCCACGGCUAACUACGUG